GCUAGUGUGGUAUAGUGGUUUAAGUGCUGGACUAUGGCUCUGGAGAUAAGGGUUUGAUUCUCUGCUCAAACA